rnacentral:miRNA from 1 species
UAAUUUGAUGUUAUUAAGG